rnacentral:lncRNA from 1 species
AGAUUCUCCCCAGACGCCAAGGUUGCGGGUCAUGGAGUCCCGAACCCUCCUCCUGCUGUUCUCGGGAGCCGUGGCCCUGAUCCAGACCUGGGCAGAAAUGAUCUCAUUUUUACAUUACAACUCUGGAAAAGGCAAUAGACUGAGAUGCAAGUGUGCCCCCAAGUGAUGGGCAGAAGGAGAGAAGGUGUUUUGGAUGCAUUCUAGAACACAGGUAAUCUAAGGAGAGUUGAUCAAGGCCGUGGAAGAGUCCUCCAGCCACUAUUGGCCAUCAAAGGAGUCCUCUGUGUCCCAGGAAUGGUCCUGCUUUGGUGUCCCUGGUGUGACCCAUCACCCGCUGGGAACAGCCUGAGAGAAGUAGGGCCUCUGCACCAAUGCUGCUGAGGAUGUCAGAGCACAGGAACGAGGCCUUGGGAAAUUACCUGGAAAUGCGACUGAAAUCUUCCUUCCUGAGGGGUCUGGGCUCUUGGAAAUCAAACCCUCUCAGGUUGGGUGGCUGGACGAUUCUCCUCACACUUACAAUGGGACAAGGGGAACCAGGAGGCCCCCAAGGGGAUCCCUGGGUUCCACACGAACUCCUCCUACCCUCAUUGUGUGACAGCAGCCAUGCCUCCUCCUGGGGAUCAGGAUCUAUUACCUGUGCCUGGAGAGGAGGGGACUCCUCUUCUCACCCGCUGGUCUCUGGACACAUACUGUCCAAUUCCCCUGUGGCAGCUGUAAUGUGUAGUUCAAUGGGCACUCAUUUGUCCCCUUUUAAGGGUACCCUCCUUUAGAAUCCAGGACCUUCUACCCUGCAGAGUGUGGUUUUGGGAGAGAAGUGCAAAAUCCCACGACAGGUGAGUUGAAGGAAUGGGAUAUGGAGCCACAUCCACUUCCACCCCUUGGUAUCUGGACCCACGUGUUCUUCCUACUGAGAUUACAGAACUGUAGAGAUGUCUUUGAUUUUUAAAAUGCACCAUGUCCUGAAAGAUGGCACCCUCCCACCCGCAGAGUGCUUCCUGCAAGCUGGCGUUGAGCUGUGCCUAUAGAAGCUCUUUUCAACAUUCUUUAUGGCCAGCAGCCCUUGGUUGGUGCAGAUGGUGAUAGGACCAGUGGGUCCCACAGCAUGGCCACACUGCACCUCCUUCGCUGUCAAGUGGGUCCCCCACGAAGAUACUGCACGGAGAGCAGUGCCAAGCCUGUGGAUCAGGAAUAUCAACAGCCCCCAGAGAGUGGUGCUGGCUGAGGGUCUGAGAGCAGGACAGGAAAACCCACCUAUGGAAUAGGUGCCUAUCCCUGUGAAGAUGAACCUCUGGCCCUUCCAGGAUGGAAGGAGUGCAAUGUAGUCAACUCCUCACUUAGGGUCUGGUUGGUCACCUAAAGAAAUAGAGCCCUACCAGGGAAGAUCAUUGGGUUCAAAUGCUGAUGAGUAGGACAUUUAGAGGUGGCAGUGUCUGGAUCUACCUUGGUAGGAGGGAGUCAGUACUGUUGGACCCAUAGGUAGCCUCAUCCCUGCCACUGUGUUUGCUCCAUUUAUGUACCCAUCCUACCCGGCCUGGGCUGACCCAUGGGGAAGGCUGGCUAAUUUCAGUGCUUCUGCUUGGUUGUUCAGGGCCAUUUCAGGUUUGGGUGUUUUCUGGGGAUGUUAACAUGGGAUUCAGGCUCAACUCACAAGAAACUUUUCCAUCUCAUGAUGGAUGCUGUUGGGCAUGUCCAAUGUAUGACUUCAUGAGUUACACAGAUGCUAAUUCGUAGGGGCACUUGGAAUCACAUGGUUGUUUUGUGUCCCAUGGUCAAGCAUUCUAUCUUAUCAGGGCCUACAGUAACAUGCCAAAAGUUGCUUCCAACAUAUUUCUCUGCUUUGGAUGGGGCAUAUUUCUGUGCUGUGGAUGACAUGGCCUUACUCCAGAAUCCCAGGCCCUCCACUGUGACUCUCCUACUGGUGCUUGGUUCAGCUCCACCCCAAAUCUUACCCCACCACUGGCACUUUCAGCACCAGGGGGUCUGAAGGAUGGUGACUGCGCCAUGGCCUGGAUCUGCUGCAGUGUCCUUUCCUGUGGAGGCUCCACUCAAAGCUGGCAUCCUCCUAUGUCACCUAGAGUGUGGGUCAAAGCAAUACACCUACAUGUAGAAUGUGAUGUCAGAACUCAAACAGGCUCACCAGGCAGUGUGCUUCCUUCCUUGCAUGAGGAUGCAAGAUGCAACAGUUUGUCUUUCACAUUGGAAGGGACACCCCUGGAUGCCCCUAACCACUAGACCUGUAAAACUUCACUGCAGUGGCCACUUCUGAAUCUCUGUAAGGUUUAUUUAUCUUCACCCUCUGGAGAGAAGAUGUUUUACCAAAGCCUCUAGUGUACCUUCCUCCUCUUACUCAUCCAUCCCAGUCAACAUGAUGUUGUCAAUGAAAUAAAGGAAUUUAAUAUUCUAUAGUAUAUCCAGGUUCUCCAGAUCUCUUAAGACUGUACUAUAGAGGCCUGGGGAAUUAUAAUAGCCCUGAGGCAAACUAUGAAUUAAAGUGUUGUGGAUCCCACAUGAAUCACUUUAUAUCCACUUUUGUGUGUGUGUGUGUGAGGCAGAGUCUUACUCUGUCACCCAGGCUGGAUUACAGGUGCACA